rnacentral:ncRNA from 1 species
UACAUAUAAAUUUUAGUGUAUAUAAUUAUUUAUUUAAAAAAUAAUUAAUUUAUUUUAUAGUAAUUAGUAUUAAAAAUUUAAGAAAUUAAGAUUUAGUAAUAUAUUAAUUAUUAACAAAUUUUGUGCCAGCAGUUGCGGUUAAACAAAAAUUAAUUUAAAUUUUAUUAGUAAUUAAUUUAAAUAAUUUAAAAAAAAUUAUUAAAUAUUAGAUUAUUGGGUGAAAUUUUAAUUUAAUUAAAAAAUUUUUUUUUAUUUUAAUAAAUUUUAUUAUAAACUAGGAUUAGAUACCCUAUUAUUAAAAUUUAAAUGAAAAUACUAAAAAAGUAUAUAUAAAUUUAUAUUGAAACUUAAAUAAUUUGGCGGUAUUUUAGUUUAUUUAGAGGAAUCUGUUUAAUAAUUGAUAAUCCACGAAUAAAUUUACUUAAUUUAUAUAUUUUGUAUAUCGUUGUUAAAAAAAUAUUUUUAAAAAUAAAUAAUAUUUAAAAAUUAUAAAUAAUAAAUUAAAUCAGAUCAAGAUGCAGAUUAUAAUUAAGAAUAUAAUGGAUUACAUUAAAUUUAUUUAAAUGGCCGAUAAUUUGAAAUAAUUAUUUAAAAGUGGAUUUAAAUGUAAUUUUAUUUAAUUAAAUAAAAUGAUUAAUAAUUAAAAUAUGUACAUAUUGCCCGUCGCUUUCAUUAAUAAGUUGAAAUAAGUCGUAACAAAGUAGAGGUACUGGAAAGUGUUUCUAGAAAGUC